AGAUAUCGAAUCAAGACGCUUUCAAACUACAAUCCAUUAAAGAUCUUUACUAAGGAGACUUCCUGAUGUUACAGAUUAUCUAUAACAAGUCCUUGAUAUAUGUAAUAAUAAUUAUCAUUGUAUGAUCUACCUAUUGUACCUCCACUAGUUAAUAGGGAGUUUGUUCGUGUGGAAGAAGCUGAACUCGAUGAAGUUUAUCAUAACGUGGAAGAAGGACUUGUUAUGAUAAACUUCAUAACGUUAUGAUAAACUUAAAAGGUACCAUAUCUAUCUAAAUUCGAAAGAAAAGAAUAAUAAAAAAUGGCUACUAUAAUUCAUUUUUAAAUCUUACUUUCCAAUCGAAGGUUUCUUGAAGAACAACACUGUAAUUCAUUCAUUCAUGAUCUCAAUUGUCAGAUACUUUUACU